rnacentral:rRNA from 1 species
GAUGAACGCUGGCGGCGUGCCUAAUACAUGCAAGUCGAACGCGAGCCUUCGGGCUCGAGUGGCGAACGGGUGAGUAAUACGUAAGCAACCUGGCCUUUACAGGGGGAUAACUGAUGGAAACGUCAGCUAAGACCGCAUAGGUACAGAGAUCGCAUGAUAACUGUAUUAAAAGUGCUACGGGACUGGUAGAGGAUGGGCUUACGGCGCAUUAGCUUGUUGGAGGGGUAACGGCCCACCAAGGCGACGAUGCGUAGCCGACCUGAGAGGGUGACCGGCCACACUGGGACUGAGACACGGCCCAGACUCCUACGGGAGGCAGCAGUAGGGAAUUUUCGGCAAUGGGGGGAACCCUGACCGAGCAACGCCGCGUGAAGGAAGAAGGAAUUCGUUCUGUAAACUUCUGUUAUAAAGGAAGAACGGCACAUAUAGGGAAUGAUAUGUGAGUGACGGUACUUUAUGAGGAAGCCACGGCUAACUACGUGCCAGCAGCCGCGGUAAUACGUAGGUGGCGAGCGUUAUCCGGAAUUAUUGGGCGUAAAGAGGGAGCAGGCGGCAGCAAGGGUCUGUGGUGAAAGGCUGAAGCUUAACUUCAGUGUGCCAGAGAAACCGGGCAGCUAGAGUGCAGGAGAGGAUCGUGGAAUUCCAUGUGUAGCGGUGAAAUGCGUAGAUAUAUGGAGGAACACCAGUGGCGAAGGCGACGAUCUGGACUGCAACUGACGCUCAGUCCCGAAAGCGUGGGGAGCAAAUAGGAUUAGAUACCCUAGUAGUCCACGCCG